GAUGAACGCUGGCGGCGUGCCUAAUACAUGCAAGUCGAGCGAACAGACGAGGAGCUUGCUCCUCUGACGUUAGCGGCGGACGGGUGAGUAACACGUGGAUAACCUACCUAUAAGACUGGGAUAACUUCGGGAAACCGGAGCUAAUACCGGAUAAUAUAUUGAACCGCAUGGUUCAAUAGUGAAAGACGGUUUUGCUGUCACUUAUAGAUGGAUCCGCGCCGCAUUAGCUAGUUGGUAAGGUAACGGCUUACCAAGGCAACGAUGCGUAGCCGACCUGAGAGGGUGAUCGGCCACACUGGAACUGAGACACGGUCCAGACUCCUACGGGAGGCAGCAGUAGGGAAUCUUCCGCAAUGGGCGAAAGCCUGACGGAGCAACGCCGCGUGAGUGAUGAAGGCCUUCGGAUCGUAAAACUCUGUUAUUAGGGAAGAACAAAUGUGUAAGUAACUAUGCACGUCUUGACGGUACCUAAUCAGUAAGCCACGGCUAACUACGUG
rnacentral:rRNA from 1 species